CCUACGGGAGGCUGCAGUGAGGAAUAUUGGUCAAUGGCCGUAAGGCUGAACCAGCCAAGUCGCGUGAAGGAAGAAUGCCCUAUGGGUUGUAAACUUCUUUUAUAUGGGAAUAAAAGUUUCCACGUGUGGGAAUUUGUAUGUACCCUAUGAAUAAGCAUCGGCUAACUCCGUGCCAGCAGCCGCGGUAAUACGGAGGAUGCGAGCGUUAUCCGGAUUUAUUGGGUUUAAAGGGUGCGUAGGUGGAUUUUUAAGUCAGUGGUGAAAGUUUGUGGCUCAACCGUAAAAUUGCCGUUGAAACUGGAAGACUUGAGUGUGUUUGAGGUAGGCGGAAUGCGUGGUGUAGCGGUGAAAUGCAUAGAUAUCACGCAGAACGCCGAUUGCGAAGGCAGCUUACUAAGCCGUAACUGACACUGAGGCACGAAAGCGUGGGUAUCAAACAGGAUUAGAUACCCGGGUAGUC
rnacentral:rRNA from 1 species